rnacentral:lncRNA from 1 species
UUUGACCCUUGGUUGACCGUGAGUCUCCCAGAGUAAUCUCACCUUUCUAGGGGAGAUUAUCGGGUACUAGACUAUUGUGGAGGGUUACACAAUAUUAGAAUUAAUAUAUAUAUUUAUAAUUAUAAUAUGUUUGUACAAGGGUACAAAAGAGUCUAGAAUGUCAGUUUGGAGUGCUAUACGCACUACCUUAGGUACCUCCCCG